AACGUAGGAGACAAACGUUAUCCGGAUUUACUGGGCGUAAAGGGCGUGUAGGUGGUUUCGUAAGUCUGGCGUGAAAUAUCUCGGCUUAACCGAGGCAGGUCGUCGGAUACUGCGGGACUAGAGGACGGUAGAGGCGUGUGGAAUUCCGGGUGUAGUGGUGAAAUGCGUAGAGAUCCGGAGGAACACCAGUGGCGAAGGCGACACGCUGGGCCGUACCUGACACUGAUGCGCGACAGCAUGGGGAGCAAACAGG
rnacentral:rRNA from 1 species